UUGAUCUGCCUGUUUGUAACAUUGGUACAGCUGACAGCAUUUUUGCAAAACUGGAAAGCUCUUUGAGGUAAGUUGAUUUCUCAGUCAAAUUUGCUGGCGCUCUAUAUAUAUAAUGGAAUUUGCUGGCGCUACAGUACAUAUAUAUAAUGCAAGUACUAUUUUCUUAGUCUGGAGAGGUGGUUAGAAAGAGCAUCAGUGAGUACUGUGAAAUUCAGUGCUGUGAAGGUUCAAUUUGUUUUUAAUCAAUAAUGCAUUUGUGUGAUUCUAGUACAAGAGGAAUUUCGUGGGAUAACCUGGUGGCCUUUAACUCAGAUAAUUGCAGUGUGAUGAAAGGAAGGCACCAUUCAGUCAUUACCAAGUUAAAAGCCAGACAGCCUAAUGUCCAAGAUGUGGGAUGCAUUUGCCACCUUGCCCAACUUGCCACAGGCUGUGGCAUCAAGGCAAUGAAGGCCCCAGUCGAAGAUUUGCUGGUUGGAAUAUACUCUCACUUUGACAAAAGUGCAAAGAGAAGUGAAAUUUAUAAAGUUUGUGAAUUUCACGGACACUGAGCACUUACAGCUGCUUCGAUACUGCAGUACACGGUGGCUCAGUCUAUACACAUGCAUCCAAAGGGUGCUGAGUCAGUGGGCUGCCCUGCAAGCAUACUUUAACAGCUGUGAAGAUGAGCGGAGUGCCAAAGUGAGACAGCUGGCCAAUUACUUGAAUGAUCCUGAAGUGAAAUUCUACUUUCUCUUUCUGAGCACUGCUCUCAAGCCAUUGGUGUUAUUCAACACUUCUUUCCAGGCAGAGGGAGUGAUGAUUCACAAAUUGCAUGCUGAAAUGAAACGGCUGGUGAAGAGGUACAUGGGGUACAUCCUGCCGGCCAGACUGAUUGUGGACCCUUUGACUGAGGUGUCACUCAAUGAAGAACACCAGCUGCCAAAUACUGAGCUCUUCAUCGGAUCUGAGGCUACAGCAUUAAUUGUGAAUGAAGACCUCUCCACAGCGAGAA